CCUACGGGGGGCAGCAGUGAGGAAUAUUGGUCAAUGGACGAGAGUCUGAACCAGCCAAGUAGCGUGAAGGAUGACUGCCCUAUGGGUUGUAAACUUCUUUUAUAUGGGAAUAAAAUGUUCCACGUGUGGGAUUUUGUAUGUACCAUAUGAAUAAGGAUCGGCUAACUCCGUGCCAGCAGCUGCGGUAAUACGGAGGAUCCGAGCGUUAUCCGGAUUUAUUGGGUUUAAAGGGAGCGUAGGUGGAUUGUUAAGUCAGUUGUGAAAGUUUGCGGCUCAACCGUAAAAUUGCAGUUGAAACUGGCAGGCUUGAGUACAGUAGAGGUGGGCGGAAUUCGUGGUGUAGCGGUGAAAUGCUUAGAUAUCACGAAGAACUCCGAUUGCGAAGGCAGCUCACUGGACUGCAACUGACACUGAGGCUCGAAAGUGUGGGUAUCAAACAGGAUUAGAUACCCCAGUAGUC
rnacentral:rRNA from 1 species